CUCUGCUCUUCUGUCUUUUCUUCACACACUGUUGCAGAGUUUCAGGUGCUGUUCCUCAACCUGUCACCACUUUAGCAGGGCUUGAUGGAAAGGGAGGAGUGGAGUUACAGUGUGAGUCUGCAGGCUGGUAUCCAGAGCCUGAGGUGUUGUGGCUGGACGGUGAUGGAAACCUCCUCUCUGCUGGACCUACAGAGACAGUCAGAGGUCCUGAUGACCUCUAUACUGUCAGCAGCAGAGUGACUGUGGAGAAGAAACACAGCAACAAGUUCACCUGCAGA